UUUCCCUUCCAGUUGGAGUUGAGAGGAGCCAGGCUUGGGCUGAGAUCCUCAGCGUGGACUCACUGCUGCAGUGUGAGCUUUCCGGAGCUGUUCUUUUAAGGGCCAAUUAAACGCCUGGAAUAUUCGUACAUGCUGAUCCCACCGCUAAGCGAUUGCCCAUGAAUCCUCGUCACGAGUCCUUCGAAGCGGAUUUCAAAAUACAUGCCAGGACCGACAGCCAGAAUUUUAAGAUCCAUCACUGCACGACUAACAAGCCGUAUUCUCUCCAAGAUUACAAAUAAAAGGCAUAAGCAGC
rnacentral:lncRNA from 1 species